GGCUCAGGAUGAACGCUAGCGGCAGGCCUAAUACAUGCAAGUCGGACGGGAUUCAGGGAGUAGCUUGCUACGAACUGAUGAGAGUGGCGCACGGGUGCGUAACGCGUGAGCAACCUACCCAUAUCAGGGGGAUAGCCUCUCGAAAGAGAGAUUAACACCGCAUAACAUCAUUUACCGGCAUCGGUUAUGAUCAAAUAUUUAUAGGAUAUGGAUGGGCUCGCGUGACAUUAGCUAGUUGGAGGGGUAACGGCCCACCAAGGCUACGAUGUCUAGGGGCUCUGAGAGGAGAAUCCCCCACACUGGUACUGAGACACGGACCAGACUCCUACGGGAGGCAGCAGUAAGGAAUAUUGGUCAAUGGAGGGAACUCUGAACCAGCCAUGCCGCGUGCAGGAUGACUGCCCUAUGGGUUGUAAACUGCUUUUGUCAGGGAAUAAACCUUUCCACGUGUGGGAAGCUGAAUGUACCUGAAGAAUAAGGAUCGGCUAACUCCGUGCCAGCAGCCGCGGUAAU
rnacentral:rRNA from 1 species